CCAAUAGCGUAUAUUAAAGUUGUUGCAGUUAAAAAGCUCGUAGUUGAAUUUCGGGAUCAAUGUUUCGGUCAUGCCGUUGGUAUGUACUGAUAUUAUUGGUUUCUCACCUUCUAAAGAACCGUAAUGCCAUUAAUUUGGUGUCACGGGGAAUUAGGACUGUUACCUUGAAAAAAUUAGAGUGUUUAAAGCAGGCUUACGCUUGAAUACAUUAGCAUGGAAUAAUGAAAUAGGACAUCCGAUUCUAUUUUGUUGGUUUCUAGGAUCGAUGUAAUGAUUAAUAGGGAUAGUUGGGGGCAUUAGUAUUCAAUUGUCAGAGGUGAAAUUCUUGGAUUUAUUGAAGACUAACUACUGCGAAAGCAUUUGCCAAGGAUGUUUUCAUUAAUCAAGAACGAAAGUUAGGGGAUCGAAGACGAUCAGAUACCGUCGUAGUCUUAACCAUAAACUAUGCCGACUAGGGAUCGGAUGAUGUUAAUUUUUUAAUGACUCAUUCGGCGCCUUACG
rnacentral:rRNA from 1 species